CAAUUGAAGGGUUUGAUCCUGGCUCAGAAUGAACGUUGGCGGCGUGGAUUAGGCAUGCAAGUCGAGCGACAAGGUCCUUCGGGACUGGAGGAGCGGCAAACGGGGUAGUAAUGCGUCGGAACGCACCCACGAGACGGGAAUAGCCGCGGGAAACUGCGGGUAAUGCCCGAUAAUAUCUUCGGAUCAAAGGUCCGCCGCUUGUGGAGCGGCCGAUGUGGUAUCAGGUAGUUGGCGGGGUAACGGCCCACCAAGCCAUAGACGCCUAGGGGGUGUGAGAGCAUGGCCCCCACCACUGGGAC
rnacentral:rRNA from 1 species